rnacentral:lncRNA from 10 species
AGGCCGCAGCCGCCGCCUGUCGGCCCGGCCCGGGUCCCAGCUGCUCCUGCGGCGCUCCCACGCCCCCGCGGGCGGGCGGCGGGGCCGGGAGGGGGCCUCGGCUGGGGCGGGCGCCGGGAGGGACCGAGUCGGGGCCGGAGGCUGGCCGCGUGCCCACCGGGCCGGCGCCGGGGCGAGCCUGGGCCGCGGCCCCCUCUUCCCGCCAGCCAGCCCACCCCGCCCCGGCGGCCUCUGGGAAAACGCGUCCCGGGCGAGCCCCUGAGGGCAGGAUCGGAGUCGGGGGCACCUGGGGAAGGAGAGCGCCCCGUGGGGCCUCGGCCGGUGGCCUGUGCCAAAAGGCCGGGCAGAGCUGCUUCGGUGUCUGGGUGAAGUUUCCAGCCAACCCAAGAAGGAAACCGAAAGGGAAGAGGCCGAGAGAGAGGUUAAUUCCUAGUGCUUUGGUUACCGAAAACAGCCCGGCUGGGACUGCUGGGCUGGGAACUUAGCUAAGCAGUGCGGAGGCUGAACCCCACCAUCUCUGGGAUCCGCAGCAAAUCAGAAGCCCCCACCCACGAUAAGGGGAAAAUGGGGCGCAGAGGGCAGGGAGGAAGGGAAGAGAAUGGAAGGAAAGCGCGUCUGGACUUUGAACUGCAGCCCUCUCCCUCUUUCCCUUGCCUCGGAAGCUCCAGGCCCACUCAGCACCAGUUCUGUCUCCUCUUUUCAGCCGCCUUCUCUCUAGCUACUGAGGGGAAAAGUCAGGAUGAAGCGGGUCCCUCGGCCUCCAGAAGGUGUUUUAUUACAGUCGCAAACAGCGCAGCCCAGGAAUUCUACCUAAAGUAACAUAUCCUAAGGCAACAACCAAGAAGUGUGGAAGAAUGCAUGUAAGAAGACACAGUGAUGUUUAGAAUCCUGGGGAAACGGAACAGCCAAAAAGUCUCACAGAGGUUAAGUAAAUAAUAGCAUUUUCAUACGAGUACUAUGUAGUCAUUUAAAAUUAUGUCUUUCAGUACCUAGUAAUGGGGAAAAUGUAUUCAUUAUAUAUUAUUAAAGAAAAUACAGGGUACAAAACACUGUAUAUAGACUGAUCUCAAAUGACUAUAUAUAUAUUAAUAUAUAUGGCCUACAGACACACAGUCAUGUAUUGCUUAACAAUGGGUAUACAUUCUGAGAAAUGUGUUCUUAGUUGAUUUUGUCACGUGAGCAUCAUAGAGUGUACUUCCAGAAACCUAGAUGGCAUAGCCUACUACACACCUAGGCUAUAUGGUAUGACGUAUUGCACCUGGACCACAAACCUGAACAGCAUGUGACUGAACUCAAUACUGGAGGCAACUAUAACACAAUGGUAAAUAUUUGUGGAUCUAAACAUGUCUAAGCAUAGAAAAGGGACAGUAAAAAUAUUCUUCUAGGGUCAGCAGAGCCAGGGCAAUAACCUGGCACCAAGAUAAAGAGCAAGAAACUAGAUGAAUGGAUGGAAAUGUCUGGAUGCUGAUCUGAGACAUUACCAUGGUAAAUGCUCAGAAAUCACUUUGCAGUGGGCUAAUUGCCAGCAAAUAAGUCACAGCAGAUGGGGGACAAAGGCCCAUAGUACCCUGGGUAUAAAAAAAUAACCGGAAUCCUAGUUUGUGUCCUGAGGCUAGUGAGGCUCAAAACAGGGAGAUUCCGGCAGGAUGUAACUUCUCUGGACACAGUGACUUGCAUCCAUUAGCUGGUCUGUUGCCCCGAACCCUGUUUAUCUUCUCUCCACACUGACCAUUGUUUCAUCCUUUGACAAUGUUCAUACUGUUGAGCACCAUUCUUAUCGAAAGAAGGGAAGGAAGCAACAUGGGAGUUACUGGUUCUCCUUGGCCCUAUGCAGGUAGUACCGAGUAUUCCCCAUGGCAGAAGUAGGUCUCCACCUUAUUUGUUUUUGCACAACAGAGAUGAUGCACAGGGCCUGAGCCCGGGAUCAGAUCCGGUGCAAUUGCCUAUUAUGUUCAUUCAUUCACACCUUUUUUGAAUACCAACUAUUAAUACAUGUCAGAUACCCAGUUCAGUACUGGGCAUAUAAACAUUAGAUCCUCAGGUGCCUCUUAACCCAUCCUAGGGACCUGGUCUCCCAGAAUCCUAACUUUGGAUGAAUACAAUACCAUAAUUGAUUAAACUUAGAGUGGCAAUAGCUAUCAUUUCCACCAAGGAAAGAAAAGGAUCAUCCUCUCACCCUCUUCCUCUUGUCACUUUCCCUCCACCCCCAAUGUAUGAUUACAACAGGUUAUACACUACCGUAAGUCCAGAAGGAGAUUAUGAGAGUCUCCAUAGAGAUGAUGCAUUUUAUGGUCUCCAUGGAGAUACUAACCCAUUGAGUUAUUUACUUUAUCCAUUGAAUUAUUUUUCUUCCCUGGUCCUCUUUGUCUUUUGUGUUCACUUAAGGACAUCAGUCUGGCAAUGAAUUAUGAUCUGAAAUAUAUUCUGGACCACAAAGAAUAUUUCCAUACCCCUAUAUGGAGCCCCUCCAAAUAUAAAGCCCCUAUGUAUUUGCUGCCCCUAAGCUAGUUUGUACGCACUCUCAGCAGAGCUCAGAGAGGAACAGAAAACAAGAAUUCCACAAUCAAUCCCUUCACUUUUCUUUCUAAGUUGAAAAGAUAAACACCCCCAAAUGCUGCUUUAUAAAGAACAGCUAGACAAGUAGAGCAUUAGCAAUUUAAAUUCAGAGAUUAAAGAAAGGGACUUACAUGGUGAACUUUAAAGGGAGAAAUAGGAGUAGCUUGGAUAAGUAACUAACAGAAGGCUUAGACAAAUUUCUACACAUGUUCAGUAGGUGAAGACAAAUUAUCAAGAUCAGUUUAAAGAAGAAUGUCUAGUCAUUGUUGGAUGACACAAUAGCAAGAAAAGGUAUGCCAAAGCCCCAGAAAAAUAUCCCAGCUACAUUGAGGAAUGGUACCAAUAAGGUUUCAUUCUGUGCGUGGAGAGCUCAGAGGGCAGGCUCUUGCAGGGAUAUCACCCUAAGUAGGUUUUCAGUUGCACCCUGCCUUAGUUUGCUAGGGCUGCCGUAACAAAGAACCACCAACUGGAUGGCCAAAACGACAGAAAUUUAUUUCCUCACCAUUCUGGAGGCUGGAAGUCCAAGAUGAAGGUGUCAGCAAGAUUGGUUUCUUCCGAGGCCUCUCUCGGGCUUGUAGCGGCCAGCUUCUCCCUCUGUGUUCUCGUGGUCUUCACUGUGUGUUCCUGUGUCCUAAUUUCCUGUUUUUAUUAUUUAUUUAUUUAUUUAUUUAUUUAUUUAUUUAUUUAUUUUGAGAUGGAGUCUCGCUCUGUUGCCCAGGUUGGAGUGCAGUGGUGAGAUCUCGGCUCCCUGCAACCGCUGUCUCCCAGGUUCAAGCAUUUUUCUUGCCUCAGCCUCCCUGGUAGCUGGGACUACAGGCGAGCGCCACCACACCCGGCUAAUUUUUGUAUUUUUAGUAGAGACGGGGUUUCACCAUGUUGGCCAGGCUGGUCUCGAACUCCUGGCCUCAAGUGAUCUGCCCACUUUGGCCUCCCAGAGUGUGUGAGGCACCACGCCUGGCCCUAAUUCUUUGUUUUUAGAAAGAUACCGGAGUCGUACUGGAUUAAGGCUCAUCCCAAUUACUUCAUUUUUGCUUAGUUACCUUAUUAAAGUUCCUAUCUCCAAAUACAGCCACAUUCUAAGGUACUAGGAAUUAGGACUUCAGCAUAGGAAUUUUGGAGGGACACAAGUCAGCCCGUAACACACCUCCUUUUCUGCAAAUGUGUGUCUGGUCAGCCCCCCUUUAGCUGGGUCUUCCAGGCUCAGCUUCAGGAAUGAGAGCUUCCUUCUCCCUUGCCAAGGCCUGUGGACCUUUCUGCGCACUUCACAUUGCACACUUCUGCUAAUAAGCAUUGCUUCAUAUUUCCUUGGGUGUAGGCCUUAAACUUUAUCUUGCAUAGAAACCAGAACACUAGUCUCCAAUCACUGUACAACUGAGAGCAGAAACAGAGAAUGCAUAGGUGUUUGCUUGAUAAAAUAUUCCUGAUUAAAAGAAAUCAUCUGGAACACGUGACAAAAAUCUGCCAGAAAAGGGUUCAGAAUAUUUUGCAGGCCUAUCCAUACUCAGUUCAGGCAAAAGAUUUAAACAAGAUCCAUCUUUCUCCCCCACUGCCUCCUCCCCUGUGUUGGGAGGUGCAAUUUACCAGGGGAGUUGGGGGUUGAGCCUCCAAGGGGGCUCUUUGUUGCACAUGCUCUCUGCUGCAGUUCUGGGGGCUCACACCAGGGAACAUCAGGCUGUUUAGAAGGACUCACUUGAACGAGCUCACUAGAAAAAUUCUCAUGUGCAAUUUUGCUUGGCAAAGAACCAAUGAACAGGGCUUGUCACCCUCUAAACAGUGGCCACUUGACCCUGCCAAUCUGCUCAUAAAGACUUCAGUAUGCAAAGAUUCAUCAAGAGCUGUGUGUGUAGAUUUCCCUUCCUCUUGAAGCUGGAUUUGCUUUCAGACAUACCCAGAAAGGGCAUACAUGAAAUCAUCCCCAGAAGGAUGAUGUCAUCCAGCCUACAGUCACACAACUGCAGCACUAGUUUUUAAAAGCUCUUGGCCCUGUUUUCUGACAAGGAAGACAAAUUGUAAGAAAUCAUUUUAAUUUUCACUUCAACCAGAUCCAGGGGAUUAUGUGCUUGAAGAUCAUUGUACAAGCACACAAAGGUAAAAUGUGCCUAUGAGUUGCAGAUACUCAUUCCACAAUGCACAAAACUUAAGUCAGCUUAAAAUCAUCACAAAAAUGUUGACCUAUACACUACCCUAUCAUCAAAGCUUCACCUGCAAAAAGGGCAAGCAUGUUGUCUUUUACCUUAAUUUUCCUGCCAUUUUUUAAAUUUGGUUUCCCAAAGAAGCUACGUUGGAGAUACUGUUAGUCAGAAGUCUUUGAAUAACAAAUGACAAAUACUUAGCUCAGACCUCCAUAAGCAAAAAAGGGACAUUUUAGUUCAGCAACAAAAAUCAACACUUGGCUAAAUCAGGCUUGGAUCAAUCCAAGAAGAUGAGUUCAAUGAUAAAAUCAACUCUGUCUUCCUCUGCCUCUCACCUCUUCUCAGCCUCUCCUAGAUGAGAACCUCUCAUCUAGGUUCUCUAGGUAUGGUGUCAAGAGCUGCCCCAUGUGGUCCUUGUAAUCCCAGAGAGAAGAGAGUGACCUUUUCUUACCCAGUGCCCAUAUGCCAAAUGUAGUGGAGGAAUUCACAUCUGUGCAUGUCCAUUCUUGGGACCAAAGGGCAAGAAGGCACAGUAAUGGGAGAGUCCAACCUGAACGGCAUAAUGGAACAAUGGAAUGUGGAAGGGGCAGUUCCCCCACGCAAAGAAGAUUCCUGGCCUAAUACAUUCCACUUCUUGGCUGCCCAGACAUGCAUGCACACAUACGCACGCACACACACGUUCUCUUUUUCCAUAUGUAGAACUUCUUGUGUGUACUCCCCUCCCCAAAUAAUACAGCCAGUCCAUGAGUAACCAUUUAUACACUCACCUCUUCCCCACAGCGAGUCAACCCUACUGCCUUCUACUGAGGCCAUUUGUUUCCUGGUCCAGGGGCUCUGGACAAUCUGGUUUUCUCUUUUUCAAGCUGAGAUAUGGCUCUUCACAGGCCAGCAAUCUCUAAUUGGUAAAUGUGAUCACCCUUCAUGUGUUUAAUAUAUUAUGGAGGAGGAUAUGUUUGAAAACUACCUUAAAAACUCUCAUUUG